rnacentral:misc_RNA from 1 species
UUCCUGCCCAUGCGUAAUACCAG